rnacentral:rRNA from 1 species
CCUACGGGAGGCUGCAGUGGGGAAUAUUGCACAAUGGGGGAAACCCUGAUGCAGCGACGCCGCGUGAAUGAAGAAGUAUUUCGGUAUGUAAAGCUCUAUCAGCAGGGGAGAAGAAAGACGGUACCUGACUAAGAAGCCCCGGCUAACUACGUGCCAGCAGCCGCGGUAAUACGUAGGGGGCGAGCGUUAUCCGGAUUUACUGGGUGUAAAGGGAGCGUAGGCGGCUGUGCAAGCCUGAAGUGAAAUGCCAGGGCUCAACCCUGGGACUGCUUUGGAAACUGGGGAGCUAGAGUGCUGGGGAGGUAAGUGGAAUUCGUGGUGUAGCGGUGAAAUGCGUAGAUAUUAGGAGGAACACCGGUGGCGAAGGCGGCAUACGGGACAGUAACUGACGCUGAGGCUCGAAAGCGUGGGGAGCGAACAGGAUUAGAUACCCGAGUAGUC